CCCUUGGAUGAUGAGGACAUAUUGUCCUACAUCCUUGUCGGACUUGAUGAUGAUUAUGAGCCCAUCGCCUCCUCUCUCGUCGGAAGGGCGGAGGCAGCAUCUGUUGCGGAGGCUUACUCUCAAGCCCUGAGUCUCGAGG
rnacentral:snoRNA from 1 species